AGUGAACGCUGGCGGCAGGCCUAACACAUGCAAGUCGAACGGCAGCACAGUAAGAGCUUGCUCUUACGGGUGGCGAGUGGCGGACGGGUGAGGCAUACAUCGGAAUCUACUUUUUCGUGGGGGAUAACGUAGGGAAACUUACGCUACUACCGCAUACGACCUACGGGUGAAAGCAGGGGAUCUUCGGACCUUGCGCGAUUGAAUGAGACGAUGUCGGAUUAGCUAGUUGGCGGGGUAAAGGCCCACCAAGGCGACGAUCCGUAGCUGGUCUGAGAGGAUGAUCAGCCACACUGGAACUGAGACACGGUCCAGACUCCUACGGGAGGCAGCAGUGGGGAAUAUUGGACAAUGGGCGCAAGCCUGAUGCAGCCAUACCGCGUGGGUGAUGAAGGCCUUCGGGUUGUAAAGCCCUUUUGUUGGGAAAGAAAAGCAGCAGGUUAAUACCCCGCUGUUCUGACGGUACCCAAAGAAUAAGCACCGGCUAACUUCGUG
rnacentral:rRNA from 1 species